AUGAAGAAACUUCAGUUGCACAACAGAACAUACAGCAAGGUAUUGCAGAUGCAUUACCUUGGCGUUGCUCUUGUGUUGAUGGUAUUCUGCUUGCCCUCUCCUACCAGUUCCUGCACCGAGCAGGAGAAGGACUCCCUUCUCCGGUUCCUUGCCGAGCUCUCCCAAGACGGCGGCCUCUCCGCGUCAUGGCGGAAUGGCACGGAUUGCUGCAAGUGGGAAGGGGUCGCCUGCAGGCAAGACAGGACGGUCAGCCAUGUCUUGCUGCCUUCGAAGGGCCUCAAGGGGCACAUCUCACGGUCCCUUGGCGCCCUCACCGGGCUGCAGCACCUCGAUCUCUCUGAAAACUUGCUGUCCGGUGGCCUGCCCCGGGAGUUAUUGUCUUCCGGCAGCAUCGUCUUCCUUGAUGUCAGCCUUAACCAGCUCAACGGAACACUCCGUCAGCUGCCAUCUUCACCACCUGCCAGGCCUCUGCAGGUACUAAACAUCUCAAGCAACUUAUUUGCAGGACAGUUUCCAUCCGCAAUAUGGAAAGCAAUGGAGAAUCUGAUGGCACUCAAUGCCAGCAACAACAACUUUAUUGGGCGGGUACCAGCUCAAUUCUGUAACAGCUCACCAUCCCUCACUGUGCUCGAUCUGUGUUUCAACAAAUUUAGUGGCAGCAUCCCCCCAGGACUUGGUGAUUGCUCCAAGCUGAGAGAGCUCAAGGCCGGGCAUAACAACCUCAGUGGAACACUCCCAGAUGAACUCUUCAAUGCAACCUCGUUGGAAUACCUGUCUUUGGAAAACAAUGAUUUACAUGGAGUUCUUGAUACUGCAAACAUGGUCAGCCUUAGAAAUCUCGUAACCCUUGAUCUUGGAGGGAACCGAUUCAGUGGCAAGAUACCAGAUUAUAUAGGCCUGUUCAAGAGACUGGAGGAGCUCCAUUUGAACAACAACAAUAUGUCAGGGCAGCUGCCAUAUGCCCUCAGCAACUGCACAAAUCUCAUAACAGUUGACCUGAAGAGAAACAGACUUAGUGGAGAACUUACCAAUGUCAAUUUCUCCAAUCUUCCCAAACUAAAAACUUUAGAUCUAGAUUCCAACAACUUAUCCGGCACAGUUCCAGAAAGCAUAUACUCGUGCAGUAAUCUGACAGCGCUGCGGCUAUCUACCAACAACUUACACGGGCAGCUCUCGUCAAGAAUAGGUAAUCUGAAGCAUCUGUCCUUCUUGUCACUUGGCAAAAACAAUUUCACAAACAUCACAAAUGCACUUCAGAUCCUUAAGAGCAGCAAGAACCUGAGCACACUGUUUAUUGGGCACAACUUUAGGGGAGAGAUCCUCUCACAGGAUGAAACAAUUGAUGGUUUCGAAAAUCUUCAGGUUCUCGAUAUACAAGGUUGCCAAUUUUCCGGCAGAAUACCUGUAUGGAUAUCAAGGGCUGCAAACUUGCAGGUGUUACUUUUAUGUGGCAAUCGUCUCACUGGACCAAUACCAGGCUGGAUCAACUCUCUAAGUCAUCUCUUUUAUAUGGAUGUGUCAACCAACAGACUAACAGGACAAAUCCCGUUAACCUUGAUGGAGAUGCCAAUGCUAAAAUCAACUGAGAACAUAACUCAUAUGAACCCAAGGGUCUUUGAUCUGACAGUUACUAAUGGCCCAUCACUUGAAUACCGUACCAUUACAUCUUUCCCAGCAGUGUUGAAUCUAAGGAACAACUGCUUGACAGGUGUAAUUCCCCCGCAGAUUGGCCAGCUCAAAGCGCUUGUUGUUCUUGAUUUCAGUUUUAAUAAGCUAUCCGGGCAGAUCCCACAAUCGAUUUGCAACCUCACAAACUUGCAGUUGCUAGACCUGUCCAGUAACAAUCUCACAGGUGCUAUCCCAGUUGCAUUGAACGCCCUGCACUUCCUUUCGGCGUUCAGCAUUUCAAACAAUAACCUAGAAGGGCCUAUUCCAUCUGGAGGCCAGUUUGAUACAUUUCAGAAUUCUAGUUUCGACAGGAACCCAAACCUGUGUGGCUCUGCUCUCACUCAAAAAUGCAAUUCAGCAGAAGCACAUCAAGCCAUCAUUCUGGCAGCAAAACAAGCUGACUACAAGGUGGCCUUUGUGAUUGAGUUCAGUGCAUUCUUUGGUGUGGGUUGUGUGAUCCUUUUGCUUGCAAACUAAAUCUAUGGUGCUUCAGAUAGCCUGAGGAUCUGA
rnacentral:rRNA from 1 species